CCUACGGGGUGCAGCAGUGGGGAAUAUUGGACAAUGGGCGAAAGCCUGAUCCAGCCAUGCCGCGUGUGUGAAGAAGGCCUUCGGGUUGUAAAGCACUUUCAGUGGGGAAGAAAGCCUUGGGGCUAAUACCCUCGAGGAAGGACAUCACUCACAGAAGAAGCACCGGCUAACUCCGUGCCAGCAGCCGCGGUAAUACGGAGGGUGCGAGCGUUAACCGGAAUUACUGGGCGUAAAGCGCGCGUAGGCGGUCUGAUAAGCCGGUUGUGAAAGCCCCGGGCUCAACCUGGGAACGGCAUCCGGAACUGUCAGGCUAGAGUGCAGGAGAGGAAGGUAGAAUUCCCGGUGUAGCGGUGAAAUGCGUAGAGAUCGGGAGGAAUACCAGUGGCGAAGGCGGCCUUCUGGACUGACACUGACGCUGAGGUGCGAAAGCGUGGGUAGCAAACAGGAUUAGAUACCCUAGUAGUC
rnacentral:rRNA from 1 species